rnacentral:lncRNA from 1 species
CGUUUUCAAUUUUUCCAUCGAAAGAUCGUUCAACCGGAAAAUCAAGACACGUUGUUCGUUUCUCUCAAGUGAAGAAAAAAUCGAUCCAGACUGAUAGGAUUGCGUCACAUCGUCGAUCGAUCGUAUGAAAAUUCCUGGAGGCGUUUUCACAUGCGAAAACCGCAUUUUAGCGAAAUACACGAAUACCCUGGCGUCGAACGUCGGGCGUGUGCCACUUUUGUGACGUCGAGAGCGCCAUUUAGCGUCAUUAAUAGAGUUGCAUCAGCGUCGAGUGCACGUCGUGAUACAUCGAUAGGAGUGGUUCGGCAAAUAGAUCGGGGCUGAAGAUACGUAUAUGUACGCAAGGGAGAGAGAAAGGAGCACACCCAUCUAAGCUUCGACAUUUCUGAACACAACCGUGACUACAGAAUGAUCCAUGCGAGAAUCGUGGCGCCCAAAAAUCGUUUGUCGAUCCACCAAUUACCAUCACACGAAUCUAUCUCCACGGAGGGAAAACGACGAGAGUAAGAAAAUGAAGGAACGAUCGGCGUAUAAAUCGUUCUUCUAGUUACGACAGUGAAAAAGGAGAGAGAAAGAGAGAGAGAGAGAAAGAGAGAAAAAAAGAAAAAAAAAGAAAAAGGAACGGAACGUUAAGUAAAAACGAAAGUGCGCGGUGAAAGCAAACUCGUAGGAUCAUGUAAAGUACUUACACGACCGAUAAUUACCGCGUCGAGUUUUAAAACGUUGAUAGAGGAAAAAAUUAAAUAUCAGAAUAUGGUAAAAAUUAAAGGUCGUGUAGUAAUAUUCCCGUGUAAUUUAGACUAGUACGCGAUUCUUUGUUUAUUAACAGCUCGUGUACGUGCCUUAUUGUAUUAUUACGGCUUAUUGUAUAAUACGCCUAGACACUUAAGAAACAAUUGUCUCUAAGGCAACUGAAUGGUCGGUCGAUCGUGUUUGUUGUAGCUGUUAUUAUCGCAAUAUAAUUAAUUUUGAUGUAUAAUGAACAAAUGAUGGAAAAUAAGUGUAAAUGAUAGAAAAUAUGAUAAUUGUUUAAGUAGGAAGUUUUUAAAAAGUGAAAGAAGUCUUCUUUGAUGAGAAAAUUAAGAAGAUAAAAUUCUGUUGCAGCAAUUCGAUAAAAGAAAUGUUAUUAAUCGAAUAUGUAUUAUACGAUGUGUAAUAUAAUAGAAUAGAAAAAAAAAAAUAAUAGAGGAAUAUUUGUAAUUUAAAUUAUAUACGAAUACGUUAAACGUACUUCAUAAUAAGUAUAUCGAUAUAAAAGUUGAUCGAUGGGAAACGUCGAAAUAUUUCUAUUUCGCAGUUAUUUCAUUCCAAAACAUUGAAAUUUAAAUACGUGACCGAUAAAGGAUCGAUCCUUGAAUUUCGAUCAGCAAACGCCAAUUUCUACAUAAAGUUUUCUUACUUUUCAACUUCGUUCAACUAUUUGUCUUCAUUUAUAUUGUACUGCUCAUUGAUCUUGGCAGAAUAAGGUCUCCUUUAGUAUAAAUUCCACCAACUCGAUAGUACAAAAGGCGCUUUAAAUGGAACAUUGAUUAAUCUUAUUAGGCAAGUAUAAGCAGAUCUGAGGAAAUCUAUGUGAAGUAAACUUGUGUGAAAGGGGGAAAGAGAUUUAAUUGCAAACAAAAAAAAAAUAUCUCAACAUUCUUGGUUUCAAUUUAACAAAUACCUAUGUCGAGCCAUAAUUUCUUUAUCAUCGGCGUGCACAAUUAAGGAAAGUAUUUCAAUCACAAUGAAUCUAUCGGAAGAUCAUUGAAGCUCGUUUCGAGAAAUUACUGCCCACGAUUAUUUCACGUGGAACAACCGAUAAAAUUUAAUGCGACGCUGGGUCUCUUCCACGAUCCUUUGAACACGGCUGCGUAACCUGUUCUGAAAUCAUUAGAUUCAAUCUAGACACAUGGUGAUUCCACCGGUAAAACGGAAGAUAUCGAUUCUCGAUGGAAGCUUAAGCAUCCUGCUUACCAUAGUUUCAACGCAUUCCUCCACAUGGUUCCGUAAUUAUAAGGUAAAAUCAAUUAAUGAUGAAAUUGUUCAUCGUUUAUGAUGAAUUGUUAUCUAUUCCCCAUAUACGUAAUCCGAAUAAAUUUUCGAAAAAAGAAUCGUAAAAGAUUUCGAGUUUCUUAUCGAAAAUCAUAUCCGCAGAACUUAGAGAAACGGGGACAUAAAAUAUUAUAUCCGUAAUUACAACGUGUCUCAAUUUUAAUCUCCAAUAUCCAAUAUCCACCUUCUAAUCUCUCUAUUACUAAUUUUUGUAUCUGGUUCAGCUUUUACCACGAAUUCGUAUUCUAACUGACAGAUAUACUUUUUUCACUGUACAGACAUCAUCGAUCGACCGUGUCCGUUUUCCAUAAUUGUUUUAAUUUAUCGCCAGAUUUGACGUUAUCGAAGCGUGGCUUAUGGAACGAGUCACCAGUAACCAGAGGAAUUAAAUGAUCAUAAUCCUCGUUCGAGGGAAAAUCAAUUCACCGUACGCUUGAUCUAGUCCCUGGUUAGAGUUCGUAUCAAACGAAUAUACGACUUCCUCUUCGAGAAAAGUCGCCUCGAACUCGCCUCUCUACGUAGAAGAACACAUAGAGAAUCUGUAUCUGUUUCGUACGAUGCACAAGAGUGAUUAUUCCCCUACGGCAUCAAGUUUUGCAAGAAUUUGUAAUCUCGUACAUUGUAUCUCGAGAAGCGAUAUAUAGUUCGGGGUUUAUUGCAUUCGGUAAACAGACGGAAUAUGAAUGUAUCUUGAUCUUUCUCUCUCUCUCUAUCUCUCUUUUUACCGGACGUCGAAUUUGCAAAUUAUAAAGGUCGAUAAGGCACCGCGGGGAAAUACAACGUGCUCUGAUUGUAUUCAAAAUCGCAUUGUGCUUCGCGAAGAUUAAUGUUAUCGAUAUAGUUUAUGGAUAUCUGUUAUAUAUACGGUUAUAUACGUGUAUAGAUAGGAAUUUCUUACAUUGGCUCCGGAAAGGUACAGCAGAUACAUCUUCUUACCUUGGGAGGGAGAUGCAUGUUUGUGUGCUAAAUAGGGCUACGUUUAUCUGUUAGAGCACGGAGUGGAAUGGAAUUUGCUUCGACGUUUCUAACCCUUUGCGUAUUAAAAUACGAGCCAUUGUGGAAAAUGUAUAUAUUAUUAUUCCUUUUGUAUAGAUUAAAUGUUACAUCAUUCAUAUAUCAUUCAUCUAUCUUUCAUCGAUUGAAACGGUCAUAAAUCUAAUACGAUAACAGCUUUUAUUGGGCAUAAAAUUUUUGGAGAUUGGAUUUAUGUUUAUUUAAAAAUUGGAUGGAUACGUUACAAGUGGAUAUAUGAGUGUAUUAUACAAAUUAUUGUGUAACCACUUGACUAUUUGUCAUCGAUACUACAAGAAGUCUUAUAUAAUCCAAGACUUUGUAGCUUUUUGUUUUAUGAACGAAGAAUGGUUAAUUACACGACGAUAAUUUCGAUCGCAUUAUAAAUAUAUCUACGCAUUGUCAUCGAUAACUUUUAUGUGAUAAUAAGUUUGCGGUACGCCAAUGUGGCAAUACAUUGAAUAACAUCCUUGAACAUUUGAUCAUUUUACUUUGAACGAGCCGCGUGUUUAUUCGCUUGCCUGUACUACUUGGAUAUUUCCAUAGUUGCAUUAGUCAUCGAACCGUAGAUAAUUUGAAUUUAUAAGAUCACGAGAAAUUCUAUUCUCUGAACCUCUGAAUAGAUUCCUAUCGGGCACUGCGGGAAAUCAGGAUUAAUACAAUGUUCCCUUACGUCCUUUUUUUACCAUUCGAUCUUACGUACUGUUUAGAAUGAUUGUAUUAUGGAGGAAUAAUAAAUGGCGUGACUUUCGAGGUUAUAUUUUUGUAUUUCUCUGAAACGUCACGUUAAAUAUUUUAUUUCCUUUCGUGGAAUAUUAAUCUCUUCGCUUUAUCGUGAAAGAAUUCAUAAAAUUGUAAUUUAUUAUGAUAUAUCGAGCAAUGGUCCUCUAGGAAUAAAUUGUGUGUCAAUCAAAAAUUUUCAAUAUUCGAAUCCGAAUCACAGCAUUCCUUUACUAUCGAUCGUCGAUUAGAAAUUUAUUUCCAGUGUGUCAAAAUGAAUUAAGUAAUGUCGAAAGAGGUAUGUCGCGCCAAUGAAACUUUUAUUAGUGUAAUUUAUUUUCUUGGCUCCACGACACCGAAUAUAAAAGUAUAGUAAUGCUUUUUCGAAUGACCACCCACGGUGUGAACGUUAAAUAUUCUCACUGAUUAAAAAAACAAGUUAGAAACAGCGAUUUAAUCGAGUUAACAUAUG